GAUGAACGCUGGCGGCGUGCUUAACACAUGCAAGUCGAACGGAAAGGCCCAAGCUUGCUUGGGUACUCGAGUGGCGAACGGGUGAGUAACACGUGGGUGAUCUGCCCUGCACUUCGGGAUAAGCCUGGGAAACUGGGUCUAAUACCGGAUAGGACGAUGGUUUGGAUGCCAUUGUGGAAAGUUUUUUCGGUGUGGGAUGAGCUCGCGGCCUAUCAGCUUGUUGGUGGGGUAAUGGCCUACCAAGGCGUCGACGGGUAGCCGGCCUGAGAGGGUGUACGGCCACAUUGGGACUGGGAUACGGGCCAGACUCCUACGGGAGGCAGCAGUGGGGAAUAUUGCACAAUGGGCGCAAGCCUGAUGCAGCGACGCCGCGUGGGGGAUGACGGCCUUCGGGUUGUAAACUCCUUUCGCUAGGGACGAAGCGUUUUUGUGACGGUACCUGGAGAAGAAGCACCGGCUAACUACGUG
rnacentral:rRNA from 1 species